rnacentral:hammerhead_ribozyme from 1 species
AUCCAGCUGACGAGUCCCAUACAGGGCUAAAUGCGCAUCUUAGAU